rnacentral:rRNA from 1 species
CGUGUAGGCGGCCUUGUAAGUCAGAUGUGAAAGCCCCCGGCUCAACCGGGGAAGUGCAUCUGAAACUGCCUGGCUUGAGUACGGGAGAGGGAGGCGGAAUUCCCAGUGUAGAGGUGAAAUUCGUAGAUAUUGGGAGGAACACCGGUGGCGAAAGCGGCCUCCUGGACCGAUACUGACGCUGAGACGCGAAAGCGUGGGGAGCAAACA